ACUGGCUCAGGACGAACGCUGGCGGCGUGCCUAAUACAUGCAAGUCGUACGCUUCUUUUUCCACCGGAGCUUGCUCCACCGGAAAAAGAGGAGUGGCGAACGGGUGAGUAACACGUGGGUAACCUGCCCAUCAGAAGGGGAUAACACUUGGAAACAGGUGCUAAUACCGUAUAACAAUCGAAACCGCAUGGUUUUGAUUUGAAAGGCGCUUUCGGGUGUCGCUGAUGGAUGGACCCGCGGUGCAUUAGCUAGUUGGUGAGGUAACGGCUCACCAAGGCCACGAUGCAUAGCCGACCUGAGAGGGUGAUCGGCCACAUUGGGACUGAGACACGGCCCAAACUCCUACGGGAGGCAGCAGUAGGGAAUCUUCGGCAAUGGACGAAAGUCUGACCGAGCAACGCCGCGUGAGUGAAGAAGGUUUUCGGAUCGUAAAACUCUGUUGUUAGAGAAGAACAAGGAUGAGAGUAACUGUUCAUCCCUUGACGGUAUCUAACCAGAAAGCCACGGCUAACUACGUGCCAGCAGCCGCGGUAAUACGUAGGUGGCAAGCGUUGUCCGGAUUUAUUGGGCGUAAAGCGAGCGCAGGCGGUUUCUUAAGUCUGAUGUGAAAGCCCCCGGCUCAACCGGGGAGGGUCAUUGGAAACUGGGAGACUUGAGUGCAGAAGAGGAGAGUGGAAUUCCAUGUGUAGCGGUGAAAUGCGUAGAUAUAUGGAGGAACACCAGUGGCGAAGGCGGCUCUCUGGUCUGUAACUGACGCUGAGGCUCGAAAGCGUGGGGAGCAAACAGGAUUAGAUACCCUGGUAGUCCACGCCGUAAACGAUGAGUGCUAAGUGUUGGAGGGUUUCCGCCCUUCAGUGCUGCAGCUAACGCAUUAAGCACUCCGCCUGGGGAGUACGACCGCAAGGUUGAAACUCAAAGGAAUUGACGGGGGCCCGCACAAGCGGUGGAGCAUGUGGUUUAAUUCGAAGCAACGCGAAGAACCUUACCAGGUCUUGACAUCCUUUGACCACUCUAGAGAUAGAGCUUCCCCUUCGGGGGCAAAGUGACAGGUGGUGCAUGGUUGUCGUCAGCUCGUGUCGUGAGAUGUUGGGUUAAGUCCCGCAACGAGCGCAACCCUUAUUGUUAGUUGCCAUCAUUCAGUUGGGCACUCUAGCAAGACUGCCGGUGACAAACCGGAGGAAGGUGGGGAUGACGUCAAAUCAUCAUGCCCCUUAUGACCUGGGCUACACACGUGCUACAAU
rnacentral:rRNA from 1 species